rnacentral:sRNA from 2 species
UGAUAAUUCAGAUGAAGGAAUUGAAACGAAAGAUGCGUUGUCGCGGUGGAUUUACGGCGCAUCAUAGCUACUCAGAGGGUAUUCUUCCAGCAGAAAAGAAGAAAUGCUAUAACGACCCCUUGAACAAUGCGGGAGCCAGCCAGUUAAGAAUGCAUUGCAAUGUAGUCUAGUUCAUUUAUGCAACAGUCUACUUUACAGGACGUGGAAAAUGUUUGGGGAAGGGCCGGAGGACCUGAACCAGAAGAUAGAUCAAGAAUGGGGUGAAAUGUAGGGGAGAAUAAACUAAAGAACGAUCAAACUGAAAAGGCCCCCAUUACAGCUUCUGGUACUCUAGCUUGCCCUCCAGCUUCUUGGACUCCGCAACCUUGCGAACAGCCUUGUUGAAAUCGUCCUGGUUCACCGUAUCCCGGUAGUCCUUGAUGGCGAAGAGGCCGGCCUCCGUAACCACAUUCCUCAAAUCGGCCCCAUUCAACCCAUCACUCAUCUUCACAAUGCUCUCAAAAUCAAUUUCGCCCUCAAUCGCAACCCCACUCGCAUGAAUCUUCAGAAUCUCCAACCGCCCAACCUCAUUCGGCAAGGGGAUCUCGAUUUUCCGAUCCAGCCGCCCAGCUCGCAGGAGCGCAGGGUCAAGCGUAUCCGGCCGGUUGGUCGCCAUGAUGAUUUUGGUUUUACCCAGGUAAUCGAAGCCGUCGAGUUGGUUGAGGAGCUCCAUGAGUGUGCGUUGGAUUUCGCGAUCGGCAGAGGUACCCUCUGAGAAGCGGCGGCCGCCGAUGGCGUCGAUUUCAUCCAUGAAGAUGAUGCAGGGUUCGUGUUCCUUGGCGUAGCCGAACAUCUCGCGGAUUAGGCGAGCGGAUUCGCCGAUGUAUUUGUCUACGAUGGCGGAGGAGACAA